rnacentral:rRNA from 1 species
GACGAACGCUGGCGGCGUGCUUAACACAUGCAAGUCGAACGGUAAGGCCCUUCGGGGUACACGAGUGGCGAACGGGUGAGUAACACGUGGGUGAUCUGCCCUGCACUUCGGGAUAAGCCUGGGAAACUGGGUCUAAUACCGGAUAGGACUCCUGGCUGCAUGGUUGGGGGUGGAAAGCUUUUGCGGUGUGGGAUGGGCCCGCGGCCUAUCAGCUUGUUGGUGGGGUAAUGGCCUACCAAGGCGACGACGGGUAGCCGGCCUGAGAGGGUGACCGGUCACACUGGGGCUGAGAUACGGCACAGACUCCUACGGGAGGCAGCAGUAGGGACUAUUGCACAAUGUGCGGAAGCCUGAUGCAGCGACGCCGCGUGAGGGAUGACUGCCUUCGGGUUGUAUACCUCUUUCAGCUAUGACGAAGCGCAAGUGACGGUAGUAGCAGAAGAAGGACCGGCCAACUACGUGCCAGCCGCCGCCGUAA